rnacentral:rRNA from 1 species
AAUCUUGGGCAAUGGGCGAAAGCCUGACCCAGCCACGCCGCGUGGAGGAUGACACCCCUAGCGGGCGUAAACUCCUUUUAUACGGGAAGAAGGCCUCCUUGGAGGGGGAUUGACGGUACCGUACGAAUAAGCACCGGCUAACUCCGUGCCAGCAGCCGCGGUAAUACGGAGGGUGCAAGCGUUGUCCGGAUUCACUGGGUGUAAAGGGUGUGUAGGCGGGACGGUAUGUUAGAGGUGAAAGCCCACGGCCUAACCGUGGAACUGCCUUUAAAACUGCCGUUCUUGAGUCUCGGAGAGGUCGCUGGAAUUCGUGGUGUAGCGGUGAAAUGCGUAGAUAUUGGGAAGAACACCAGAGGCGAAGGCGCUCAACUGGGCUGUAACUGACACUCAGGGACGAAAGCUAGGGUAGCGAAAGGGAUUAGAUACCCCCGUAGUCCUAGCUGUA